rnacentral:rRNA from 1 species
UACAGAGGGGGCAAGCGUUAUUCGGAAUUAUUGGGCGUAAAGGGCGCGUAGGCGGCUUGGCAAGUGGAUGGUGAAAUCCCUCGGCUUAACCGAGGAACUGCCGUCCAAACUGCUUCGCUUGAGACCGGGAGAGGUGAGUGGAAUUCCCAGUGUAGCGGUGAAAUGCGUAGAUAUCUGGAGGAACACCGGUGGCGAAGGCGGCAUCCUAGACCAACACUGACGCUGAGUGAGCGAAAGCCAGGGGAGCAAACGGG